AACGAACGCUGGCGGCAUGCCUAACACAUGCAAGUCGAACGAGACCUUCGGGUCUUGUUGCGCACGGUUGCGUACCACGUGGGAACCUGCCCUUAGGUUCGGUAUACCUCCCCGAAAGGGGUGCUAAUACCGGAUAAUCUCUUCCGACCCAAGAUUUGUCGCCUUUGGAUGGGCCCGCGUUGGAUUAGCUGGUUGGUAGGGUAAACGCCUAGCAAGGCGACGAUCCAUAGCUGGUCUGAGAGGAUGACCAGCCACACUGGGACUGAGACACGGCCCAGACUCAUAAGGGAGGAAGAAGGGAGGAAUAUUGGACAGCGGAAGAAAGACGGAGCCAGCAAGGCCGCGGGAGGGAUGAAGGCGUUAGGGAUGUAAAGCUCUUUUAACAGGGAUGAUAAUGACAGGACAGGGAGAAAAAGCUACGGCUAAAUCAGUG
rnacentral:rRNA from 1 species